rnacentral:rRNA from 1 species
AUUGAACGCUGGCGGCAUGCUUUACACAUGCAAGUCGAACGGUAACAGGCCUUCGGGCGCUGACGAGUGGCGAACGGGUGAGUAAUGCAUCGGAACGUGCCCAGAGGUGGGGGAUAACGCAGCGAAAGCUGUGCUAAUACCGCAUGUGAUCUGAGGAUGAAAGCGGGGGACCAAGCAGCAAUGUUUGGCCUCGCGCCUCUGGAGCGGCCGAUGUCAGAUUAGGUAGUUGGUGGGGUAAAGGCCUACCAAGCCGACGAUCUGUAGCUGGUCUGAGAGGACGACCAGCCACACUGGGACUGAGACACGGCCCAGACUCCUACGGGAGGCAGCAGUGGGGAAUUUUGGACAAUGGGCGCAAGCCUGAUCCAGCAAUGCCGCGUGCGGGAAGAAGGCCUUCGGGUUGUAAACCGCUUUUGUACGGAACGAAAAGGCUCUGGCUAAUACCUGGGGCUGAUGACGGUACCGUAAGAAUAAGCACCGGCUAACUACGUG